UACGGGGGGGGCAAGCGUUGUUCGGAAUCACUGGGCGUAAAGGGUUCGUAGGCGGCCAACUAAGUCUGAUGUGAAAUCCCCAGGCUCAACCUGGGAACUGCAUCCGAUACUGGAUGGCUUGAAUUCGGGAGAGGGAUGCAGAAUUCCAGGUGUAGCGGUGAAAUGCGUAGAUAUCUGGAGGAAUACCGGUGGCGAAGGCGGCAUCCUGGACCGACAUUGACGCUGAGGAGCGAAAGCCAGGGGAGCAAACGGG
rnacentral:rRNA from 1 species